GACGAAAUAGCUCAGUUGGAAGGGCGAUUGAUUGAAGACUGGGAGGUUCCUGGUUCGAUCCCGAUUUUUGGCU